ensembl:lncRNA
UGCUCUUCCUUCCUCAUCCAGGAAGACUCAAGACUUCAACCACAAUGGUUUUGGAUUCUUCUAAGCAAAGCUGUUAUUUCCAUUACAGCUCAGUUCAAGGGAGUCAGAGGUAUCAGCCAAGCUGGGACAGGGGCGGGAGAUCCAAGGAAGCAUGUGCAAAGGAGAGAAUGCUAGAGAGCAGAGGAACACAUGCAUGGCAGGAAGAGGAUAGAGAAGAAUCAGAAUACAAAUUGCACUGCAGAAUGUGUGGGACAUUUCUUUAAAGGAAGCUAACUCAGGAAAAGAAUAUAAUUUUGACUAAAUACUGAAGCAGCAAUGGAGCACACCUAUGCUGAAAGGAACCACUGAAAGUACCAGCUACAGAAGUUUCAUCAGCAUAUAUAUUCCAUGUUUGAUUUCUUUGAUGUUUUUUCAGGGGAGAUUGGUCUGAAGUCUGUUUAAAUUCAAGCCAUAUUAAACUCAACUUCCCCCGAUGCAACAACUUCUUUCCUGCAUACCCCUCAAGCAGCCUUCACCUUCACAUGGGCAGACCCCACUCUGUGCACACACACGGCCUCUGUACAUGGGUCAGCCCAUGGAGGCAGGAAACAUGCUGCCCCUCAGCUGCUCUGCUGACUCUGAACCUUGCAAGAUUGUGGUCACCAUGUGCUCGUUGCCUCAGCUCGGUUACAUGGUCAAGACUGGAUGAAGGGGGAGAGAGGCCACCACUGAGGGGUCCUGACCUAGUGCUAAAACAAUGCUUUGGGAAAUGCCUACAGCCCAGCAGCGCCUUAUGGCACUGCUUGACCAGAUGUCAUUUGAGAUUGGCAGUGGACCACAGGAGAAGGGAUGUGCAUCCAGACUAA